rnacentral:misc_RNA from 1 species
UCAAACUUGGUCAUUUAGAGGAAGUAAAAGUCGUAACAAGGUUUCCGUAGGUGAACCUGCGGAAGGAUCAUUAAUGAGUUGUAAUGGGGUUUGAUGCUGGUGUCUAUCUUUUCCGGUGGAUGCAUGUGCUCGCCCUGGCAAUCCCAUUUCCCCAAACACCUGUGCACACAUUUUUCGAGGGAGUUCUGAGUUGAUUGGUUGCUCCCUUGAUCCCCCACACUAUACCACCUAUUAGAACUUUGAACGUGAUUUGUGCCGCAAGGCCUUUAAUUAUAAUACAACUUUUAACAACGGAUCUCUUGGCUCUCGCAUCGAUGAAGAACGCAGC